GAUGAACGCUGGCGGCGUGCCUAAUACAUGCUAGUCGAGCGAACGGACGAGAAGCUUGCUUCUCUGAUGUUAGCGGCGGACGGGUGAGUAACACGUGGAUAACCUACCUAUAAGACUGGGAUAACUUCGGGAAACCGGAGCUAAUACCGGAUAAUAUUUUGAACCGCAUGGUUCAAAAGUGAAAGACGGUCUUGCUGUCACUUAUAGAUGGAUCCGCGCUGCAUUAGCUAGUUGGUAAGGUAACGGCUUACCAAGGCAACGAUGCAUAGCCGACCUGAGAGGGUGAUCGGCCACACUGGAACUGAGACACGGUCCAGACUCCUACGGGAGGCAGCAGUAGGGAAUCUUCCGCAAUGGGCGAAAGCCUGACGGAGCAACGCCGCGUGAGUGAUGAAGGUCUUCGGAUCGUAAAACUCUGUUAUUAGGGAAGAACAUAUGUGUAAGUAACUGUGCACAUCUUGACGGUACCUAAUCAGAAAGCCACGGCUAACUACUUGCCAGCAGCCGCGGUAAUACGUAGGUGGCAAGCGUUAUCCGGAAUUAUUGGGCGUAAAGCGCGCGUAGGCGGUUUUUUAAGUCUGAUGUGAAAGCCCACGGCUCAACCGUGGAGGGUCAUUGGAAACUGGAAAACUUGAGUGCAGAAGAGGAAAGUGGAAUUCCAUGUGUAGCGGUGAAAUGCGCAGAGAUAUGGAGGAACACCAGUGGCGAAGGCGACUUUCUGGUCUGUAACUGACGCUGAUGUGCGAAAGCGUGGGGAUCAAACAGGAUUAGAUACCCUGGUAGUCCACGCCGUAAACGAUGAGUGCUAAGUGUUAGGGGGUUUCCGCCCCUUAGUGCUGCAGCUAACGCAUUAAGCACUCCGCCUGGGGAGUACGACCGCAAGGUUGAAACUCAAAGGAAUUGACGGGGACCCGCACAAGCGGUGGAGCAUGUGGUUUAAUUCGAAGCAACGCGAAGAACCUUACCAAAUCUUGACAUCCUUUGACAACUCUAGAGAUAGAGCCUUCCCCUUCGGGGGACAAAGUGACAGGUGGUGCAUGGUUGUCGUCAGCUCGUGUCGUGAGAUGUUGGGUUAAGUCCCGCAACGAGCGCAACCCUUAAGCUUAGUUGCCAUCAUUAAGUUGGGCACUCUAAGUUGACUGCCGGUGACAAACCGGAGGAAGGUGGGGAUGACGUCAAAUCAUCAUGCCCCUUAUGGUUUGGGCUACACACGUGCUACAAUGGACAAUACAAAGGGCAGCGAAACCGCGAGGUCAAGCAAAUCCCAUAAAGUUGUUCUCAGUUCGGAUUGUAGUCUGCAACUCGACUGCAUGAAGCUGGAAUCGCUAGUAAUCGUAGAUCAGCAUGCUACGGUGAAUACGUUCCCGGGUCU
rnacentral:rRNA from 1 species